CCGGGCUAACUACGUGCCAGCAGCCGCGGUAAUACGUAGGGCGCAAGCGUUAUCCCGGAAUUAUUGGGCGUAAAGAGCUCGUAGGCGGUUUGUCGCGUCUGCCGUGAAAGUCCGGGGCUCAACUCCGGAUCUGCGGUGGGUACGGGCAGACUAGAGUGAUGUAGGGGAGACUGGAAUUCCUGGUGUAGCGGUGAAAUGCGCAGAUAUCAGGAGGAACACCGAUGGCGAAGGCAGGUCUCUGGGCAUUAACUGACGCUGAGGAGCGAAAGCAUGGGGAGCGAACAGGAUUAGAUACCCUGGUAGUCCAUGCCGUAAACGUUGGGCACUAGGUGUGGGGGACAUUCCACGUUUUCCGCGCCGUAGCUAACGCAUUAAGUGCCCCGCCUGGGGAGUACGGCCGCAAGGCUAAAACUCAAAGGAAUUGACGGGGGCCCGCACAAGCGGCGGAGCAUGCGGAUUAAUUCGAUGCAACGCGAAGAACCUUACCAAGGCUUGACAUGAACCGGAAAGACCUGGAAACAGGUGCCCCGCUUGCGGUCGGUUUACAGGUGGUGCAUGGUUGUCGUCAGCUCGUGUCGUGAGAUGUUGGGUUAAGUCCCGCAACGAGCGCAACCCUCGUUCUAUGUUGCCAGCACGUGAUGGUGGGGACUCAUAGGAGACUGCCGGGGUCAACUCGGAGGAAGGUGGGGACGACGUCAAAUCAUCAUGCCCCUUAUGUCUUGGGCUUCACGCAUGCUACAAUGGCCGGUACAAAGGGUUGCGAUACUGUGAGGUGGAGCUAAUCCCAAAAAGCCGGUCUCAGUUCGGAUUGGGGUCUGCAACUCGACCCCAUGAAGUCGGAGUCGCUAGUAAU
rnacentral:rRNA from 1 species